rnacentral:rRNA from 1 species
CCUACGGGACGCAGCAGUAGGGAAUCUUCCACAAUGGACGAAAGUCUGAUGGAGCAACGCCGCGUGAGUGAAGAAGGGUUUCGGCUCGUAAAGCUCUGUUGGUAGUGAAGAAAGAUAGAGGUAGUAACUGGCCUUUAUUUGACGGUAAUUACUUAGAAAGUCACGGCUAACUACGUGCCAGCAGCCGCGGUAAUACGUAGGUGGCAAGCGUUGUUCGGAUUUAUUGGGUGUAAAGGGUGCGUAGACGGGAGUCUAAGUUAGUUGUGAAAUCCCUCGGCUCAAAUGAGGAACUGCAACUAAAACUG